CCUACGGGAGGCUGCAGUGAGGAAUAUUGGUCAAUGGACGAGAGUCUGAACCAGCCAAGUAGCGUGAAGGAUGACUGCCCUAUGGGUUGUAAACUUCUUUUAUAUGGGAAUAAAAUGUUCCACGUGUGGGAUUUUGUAUGUACCAUAUGAAUAAGGAUCGGCUAACUCCGUGCCAGCAGCCGCGGUAAUACGGAGGAUCCAAGCGUUAUCCGGAUUUAUUGGGUUUAAAGGGAGCGUAGGUGGAUUGUUAAGUCAGUUGUGAAAGUUUGCGGCUCAACCGUAAAAUUGCAGUUGAAACUGGCAGUCUUGAGUACAGUAGAGGUGGGCGGAAUUCGUGGUGUAGCGGUGAAAUGCUUAGAUAACACGAAGAACUCCGAUUGCGAAGGCAGUUCACUGGACUGCAACUGACACUGAGGCUCGAAAGUGUGGGUAUCAAACAGGAUUAGAUACCCGAGUAGUC
rnacentral:rRNA from 1 species